GAUGAACGCUGGCGGCGUGCCUAAUACAUGCAAGUCGAGCGAAUGGAUUAAGAGCUUGCUCUUAUGAAGUUAGCGGCGGACGGGUGAGUAACACGUGGGUAACCUGCCCAUAAGACUGGGAUAACUCCGGGAAACCGGGGCGAAUACCGGCUAACAUUUUGAACCGCAUGGUUCGAAAUUGAAAGGCGGCUUCGGCUGUCACCUAUGGAUGGACCCGCGUCGCAUUAGCUAGUUGGUGAGGUAACGGCUCACCAAGGUAACGAUGCGUAGCCGACCUGAGAGGGUGAUCGGCCACGCUGGGACUGAGACACGCCCCAGACUCCUACGGGAGGCAGCAGUAGGGAAUCUUCCGCAAUGGACGAAAGUCUGACGGAGCAACGCCGCGUGAGUGAUGAAGGCUUUCGGGUCGUAAAACUCUGUUGUUAGGGAAGAACAAGUGCUAGUUGAAUAAGCUGGCACCUUGACGGUACCUAACCAGAAAGCCACGGCUAACUACGUGCCAGCCGCCGCUGUAA
rnacentral:rRNA from 1 species